GAAAACCACCAUAGACACACCUCCAUUUCCUUUCCAUUUUCUUACUCUCUUUAUCUUAUCAUCAUCAUCUUCUUCUUCCUUUAGAUCAAUAUAUAUAUAUAUAUACCAUACAGAACGUACAUAAGGGGACUCGGACCUUGACAUAUUCAUUGAAAAUUCCAGAAUCAACGUCUUCAGUGAUCAGUUCGUCUAUUCUCAAUGAGUCCAAUAAAAAAUUCUUAAUUUUCCUUUGUUUUAUGUGAUUUUCCAACUGAAUCUGGCCAGAAAGCGUGAGACCCAUCGGAGUCCACCUGGGGUCCGUCAUUUUCCGCCUCCGCCUGAGUUCAUCGGAGCUCAGGCCUCACUGGGUUCGAUCUCCUGUCGUGUAAAUUGAGGUUUUGGGUUCGUCAAUCUUAGUGUUUCGUUUUCAAAUCGUGCUUGGAUUCAUCGUUUUUCUCUCAUAGAAAUCGCGUACAGACAACACCUAUUCGUGGCUGCACUGUUUGGGGUCGUUGGUUUUUCUACUGGUUCUGGAAUUUGAACGCUUCUUGGUCUCAAUCAUAGUGUUGUUUCCAGUAUCGAAUUUUUGUUUCUGUAUACCGAGUGAGGGAUUUCAUCGCUGUUGAGGUUUUUUAUUCGGGCUUUUGAUUUGGGCUUUCUUAACGUUAUUAUCAACAAAAGUCGAUAUCAAGGUCCAUUUCUUUAACCUGUUCUCUUAUUUAUUUUUGAUUGGUUGCAUUGACUAUGAUUAUGUGUUUGGAUGACUUUGAUAGUCUGAUUUCGUUGAUAUUACUAUGUGGUUUGAAUUUGUUACUAAAAUGAGCAUGGAUUGUUGAAAUGGUUUGUUAAUCAUGGAAUUUGAUACAAGAAAGAAAUUUGGGGUGGAAUUAAAAGUUUAUAAAAGUUGUAUAGUUAAAUUUUGGUCGGUUGUUAUUUUGCUCAAUUCGGGAUAAACAUGAAUGUGAUCGAGCUCAGAUAGGUAAACGUAGGUCGGGUAGGCAAAUUUAGGGAUUGUGGAUUGAUGAAAUAUUUGAGUUAUGUGAUUGAAUGAUUUUUAGCUAUAUUGCGUUGGGAUCAUUUGUAUAAUUUGGUUGGGGAAUGCCCCGAAUUACAUUGUAUUUAUUCACAGGGGAAUGCCCCGACGUACUAUGUUGGCGGAAGACGUUCGUGAGGAAGGCCCGAGGCAUCGGGUAAAGCAUGGGAGCGUAGUUAGUAUUAGUGUAGGUUAGGUAGGAU
rnacentral:lncRNA from 1 species